rnacentral:piRNA from 1 species
UAGGAGGAGAAACAGGACCGUGGUUG